AUACGUAGGGGGCGAGCGUUGUCCGGAAUUAUUGGGCGUAAAGCGCGCGCAGGCGGUCCCUUAAGUCUGAUGUGAAAGCCCACGGCUCAACCGUGGAGGGCCAUUGGAAACUGGGGGACUUGAGUGCAGAAGAGGAGAGCGGAAUUCCACGUGUAGCGGUGAAAUGCGUAGAGAUGUGGAGGAACACCAGUGGCGAAGGCGGCUCUCUGGUCUGUAACUGACGCUGAGGCGCGAAAGCGUGGGGAGCAAACAGGAUUAGAUACCCUGGUAGUCCACGCCGUAAACGAUGAGUGCUAAGUGUUAGAGGGGUCAAACCCUUUAGUGCUGUAGCUAACGCGUUAAGGACUCCGCCUGGGGAGUACGGCCGCAAGGCUGAA
rnacentral:rRNA from 1 species